CCUACGGGAGGCAGCAGUGGGGAAUAUUGCACAAUGGGGGCAACCCUGAUGCAGCGAUGCCGCGUGAGUGAAGAAGGACUUCGGUAUGUAAAGUUCUAUCAGCAGGGAAGAAAAUGAUGGUAUUUGAACAUGAAGUCCUGGCCAUUUACGUGCCAGCAGCCGCGGUAAUACGCAGGGGGCAAGCGUUAUUCGGAUUUACUGGGUGUAAAGGGAACGUAGAUGGCUGGACAAGUCUGGAGUGAAAUGCCGGGGCUUAACCCCGGAACUGCUUUGGAAACUGGGCAGCUAGAGUGCAGGAGAGGUGAGUAGAAUUCCAGGUGUAGCGGUGAAAUGCGUAGAGAUUAGGAGGAACACCAGUGGCGAAGGCGGCUUACUGGAC
rnacentral:rRNA from 1 species